ACUUCGAUAGCUCAGUUGGUAGAGUGGAGGACUCUUAGGUCGCAGGUUCGAUUCCAGCUCAAAGGA
rfam:Danio rerio chromosome 4, GRCz11 reference primary assembly.